UGGAGCUUCUAGUGCUUCUUUCUGGUAUUCUCCCGGACCCAAAACUCGAAACUUCAGCAUUCUCGAUUACGCGUAAUACUUCAUCAAUCGUUACCAUGAUCGCCUUUGGUUUGAGCAGUUCUGUCAGCAUACGUGUAUCAAACGAGUUGGGUGCUGGUCGUCCAAAAGAAGCGCGCAAAGUUAUAUUAAUAGCUUUGUUUAUAGCUACCUCUGAA